rnacentral:rRNA from 1 species
AUUGAACGCUGGCGGCAGGCUUAACACAUGCAAGUCGAGCGGGGUGAGGUGCUUCGGUACUGAUCCUAGCGGCGGACGGGUGAGUAAUGCUUAGGAAUCUGCCAUUUAGUGGGGGACAACAUUCCGAAAGGAAUGCUAAUACCGCAUACGUCCUACGGGAGAAAGCAGGGGAUCUUCGGACCUUGCGCUAAAUGAUGAGCCUAAGUCGGAUUAGCUAGUUGGUGGGGUAAAGGCCUACCAAGGCAACGAUCUGUAGCGGGUCUGAGAGGAUGAUCCGCCACACUGGGACUGAGACACGGCCCAGACUCCUACGGGAGGCAGUAGUGGGGAAUAUUGGACAAUGGGCGGAAGCCUGAUCCAGCCAUGCCGCGUGUGUGAAGAAGGCCUUUUGGUUGUAAAGCACUUUAAGCGAGGAGGAGGCUACCUGGAUUAAUACUCUGGGAUAGUGGACGUUACUCGCAGAAUAAGCACCGGCUAACUCUGUGCCAGCAGCCGCCGCCGUAA